rnacentral:rRNA from 1 species
UGGGGAAUUUUGGACAAUGGGCGCAAGCCUGAUCCAGCCAUGCCGCGUGCAGGAAGAAGGCCUUCGGGUUGUAAACUGCUUUUGUCAGGGAAGAAAUCCUUUGGGCUAAUACCCCGGAGGGAUGACGGUACCUGAAGAAUAAGCACCGGCUAACUACGUGCCAGCAGCCGCGGUAAUACGUAGGGUGCGAGCGUUAAUCGGAAUUACUGGGCGUAAAGCGUGCGCAGGCGGCUUUGCAAGACAGACGUGAAAUCCCCGGGGCUCAACCUGGGAACUGCAUUUGUGACUGCAAGGCUAGAGUGCGGCAGAGGGAGAUGGAAUUCCGCGUGUAGCAGUGAAAUGCGUAGAUAUGCGGAGGAACACCGAUGGCGAAGGCAAUCUCCUGGGCCUGCACUGACGCUCAUGCACGAAAGCGUGGGGAGCAAACNGGAUUAGAUNCCCUGGUAGUCACGCCCUAAANGAUGUCAACUGGUUGUUGGACGGCUUCUGUUCAGUAACGAAGCUAACGCGUGAAAGUUGACCGCCUGGGGUAGUACGGCCGCAAGGUUGAAACUCAAAUGAAUUGACGGGG